UACAGAGGUCUCAAGCGUUGUUCGGAUUCAUUGGGCGUAAAGGGUGCGUAGGCGGCGCGGGUAAGUCGGAUGUGAAAUCUCGGAGCUUAACUUCGAAACUGCAUUCGAUACUGCCGUGCUUGAGGACUUGGAGAGGAGACUGGAAUUUACGGUGUAGCGGUGAAAUGCGCAGAUAUCAGGAGGAACACCAAUUGCGAAGGCAGCUCGCUGGGACGUAACUGACGCUGAGACGCGAAAGCGUGGGGAGCAAACAGG
rnacentral:rRNA from 1 species